rnacentral:rRNA from 1 species
CAUGGCUCAGAACGAACGCUGGCGGCAGGCUUAACACAUGCAAGUCGAACGCCCCGCAAGGGGAGUGGCAGACGGGUGAGUAACGCGUGGGAACGUGCCCUUCGGUUCGGAAUAACUCAGGGAAACUUGAGCUAAUACCGGAUACGUGCGAGAGCAGAAAGAUUUAUCGCCGAAGGAUCGGCCCGCGUCCGAUUAGCUAGUUGGUGAGGUAAUGGCUCACCAAGGCAACGAUCGGUAGCUGGUCUGAGAGGAUGAUCAGCCACAUUUGGACUGAGACACGAGCCCAAACUCCUACGGGAGGCAGCAGUGGCGGUAAUAUUGGACAGUGGGCGCAAGUCCUGAUACCACGCCAUGCCGUCGUGAAGUGAUGAAGGCCCUAGGGUUGUAAAGAUACUUUCGACCAGGGUACGUAUAUAUGACGGUACCCGGAAUAAGAAGCCCCGGCUAA